rnacentral:rRNA from 1 species
AACGAACGCUGGCGGCAGGCUUAACACAUGCAAGUCGAACGCAUCCUUCGGGGUGAGUGGCAGACGGGUGAGUAACGCGUGGGAACGUGCCCUUCAGCUCGGGAUAACCCAGGGAAACUUGGGCUAAUACCGGAUACGUGCGAGAGCAGAGAGAUUUAUCGCUGAAGGAUCGGCCCGCGUCUGAUUAGCUAGUUGGUGGGGUAAUGGCCCACCAAGGCGACGAUCAGUAGCUGGUCUGAGAGGAUGAUCAGCCAAAUUGGGACUGAGACACGGCCCAAACUCCUACGGGAGGCAGCAGUGGGGAAUAUUGGACAAUGGGCGCAAGCCUGAUCCAGCCAUGCCGCGUGAGUGAUGAAGGCCUUAGGGUUGUAAAGCUCUUUCGUCCGGGACGAUAAUGACGGUACCGGAAGAAGAAGCCCCGGCUAACUUCGUGCCAGCAGCCGCCGUAA